CAGUCGCCGCGGUAACACAGAGGGUGCAAGCGUUAAUCGGAAUUACUGGGCGUAAAGCGCGCGUAGGUGGUUUGUUAAGUUGGAUGUGAAAUCCCCGGGCUCAACCUGGGAACUGCAUCCAAAACUGGCAAGCUAGAGUAUGGUAUAGGGUGGUGGAAUUUCCUGUGUAGCGGUGAAAUGCGUAGAUAUAGGAAGGAACACCAGUGGCGAAGGCGACCACCUGGACUGAUACUGACACUGAGGUGCGAAAGCGUGGGGAGCAAACAGGAUUAGAUACCCCGGUAGUCCCUGUCUCUUAUAC
rnacentral:rRNA from 1 species